UCGAAAGAGAUUAUGGUGAGCCUUCAUGGCGUUCUGCAAGCUUUGGUUCCGGCACCGCUCUAAACGGAGAGUAGCUCUUCCCCAAGGAAGAGUGAACUUCGGGAUAAAAUUUGUGUCCUCGCGUCACUUGUGGUUAAUCCUUUCCCCGCACUUUACUUUGUUGUGUAUGCUUGUUGGCUUGCUAAUUAGAUUGCUGCCUAGCAUAUUUAGCUUUAAGCUUGCUUGUCAUAUAGGUUGUGUUCACCUAGUUGCAUAUCUAGUGAACCCUAUUUAUCCCCUAAACAUUAAAAUUGAUAAGAAAUAUUAAAAUUUGUAACCCCUAUUCACCCCCCUCUAGUCGACCGUAUCGAUCCUUUCAAAGUAAGACUAUAUAGGCUAGGAUGUCAAAAUACAUUCGAUGGCAAAUCUUUGCAUACCAAGUAAAACUAUGUAUGUGUGUUUUUUGAUUCAUGGCAUCUACACUUUUGUUUAUUGUUGGCAUCAUAAGUCAGAACAAGGUAGUUAUUGCCAUGCUUUUCAGAGUACAAAAAUUUGCCAUGUUUUUUGUGUUGUUGUCCUGAUUAAUGAAUACAAAAUUUGCCAUGCUUCAUAGGUUAUUCUUCAUUAUUAGUACGAUCAUUUUCCAAAUUUUUGCAUGCUUCAUAGUACUAAUUUUCAGCAUUUGCCAUGUUACCAUUUAUACAUUCUCUAUUUUAUGCCAUGUUCGGGACACAAUAAUUUAUAAAUUGGUCAUGUACCAUUUUUACAUAUUUUCCCAAACUUGCCAUGAUUAUAGUGCAAAAAUCCAAAACGUGUCGUGUAACAAUUACAUAUUCUUGUCCUAAAAUUGCCAUGAUUUAGUCAUUUCAAUUUUCUAAAAAAAAUCCAUGGGACCAUUUACAAAAGCUUCCAGCAUUGCCUUUCAGUCAUGGAAAUUAAUUUUCUAAAUUUGCAAUGUGAACCAGUACCAUUUUUUUACUAAAUUUUCUGCUUUGCGGUAAAAAAAUCCUACAUUGUACCAUAUGACCAUUACAACACUCUUUAAGUUUUCCAUGAUUUUUCGAAUACAAAAAAUUCUAAAUUUUCCAUGUAACCCAUUUACAUUUACCAAAAUUGCCAUAUUUUUUAUAUAUUAAAAUUCCCGCUUUUGCCAUGUGAACGACUACAUUUUUUUUUCUAAAUUUGCCAUGAUUGUUAGCAGCCACUUAGGCACAACUCCUAAUUUUUGUCGUGUGACCAUUACAAUUUUUCAAAAGUUGCCAUGUUGAGAUAACAAAAUUCUCUUAAAUUUGCCAUGUUGAGAUUACAAUCAUGAAGAUUCCCUUAAAUUUAUUAUGCUUGUUAGCGGCCACUUAGGCACAAAUCCAGCAUUUUAUAUAAUAAAAAAUUCUAGGUUCACUAUAAUGAGCAUGACAAUUUUGUUACAUAGGUCCUGGAAAGUUUUAUUAAUUAUAGCACGACAAUUUAUAAUUACAGGAUGGCAAUUUUAUUAACUAACGCAUGUCAAUUUUAUUAAUUAAAACAUGUCAAUUAAAGCAUGGAUGGGUACUUUAGUACGAACAUCAUUGCUACCUUUUUAUCUAUGUUUUAAGUUAUGGCAAUUUUAGUUUCUCAUGCAUUGCAAAUUUGGAUUUUCAUUGAUGGCAAUUUGGGUUCACACAUCAUGACUAGUUUUUUUUGUGUGUAUUACAUAUGGCAAACUUAGGUAUAAACAUACCCUCCACCAGCUGGUUGUUUUAUUCAAAAGGCACGACAAAUUAAUUUUUAGAGUAUAGUAACAUGUGUCUCGUACUUCAUUGAUUCUUGUUUUCUGGGUGGAAAGAUGUAGGGAUGGGGGAGAAUCACCUUUCUUCUUCUUUCUAUUCAUCUCAUCUUUAAAUUCUGCUCUUAUCUCUACGAAGGCGUGGAAGGAGAGCAUGGGUUGUAGGGGUCGUUAGUUAGUGUGUGCGCGCGCGCGCGCGUGCGUGUGUGUGAUUUUCCAACAGAAUUAACUUGGCAAAAUUCAAACUAUAAGAUAGGUAAGGUUUUUCCAUCAUUUUUAUAAUCUAUUUGAAUUAUUCUUGUCAUGGCAAAUCUUUACACUGCUAAUCUUCCUUUUUUUUCCAAUGGCAACCGAUCUUUUGUAUAGGUAAAUUGCAUGUAUCUUGCUCUGGCAAAUCACACAUGAUUUUGGGGAGCUAAUCCAUUUUCUGGAGCAGGGAAAGAAGCAGAGGGAGAGGGCGAGUGGCCUGCGGCGCGCGAAUUUUGGGUCGUGCUCGGGGUAUUUGCCAUUGAACAAAUACGUUCGCUCAUUUCUACCUUGUUGUGGGGACGAUCGUUCGCUCGCGUACCUCCCUGGAAUGUUAGUGUGUUGUUGGUGUCCAUAAAUUAAGACGGAAAAAGUAGCUGCUUUGUUGAGAGAGUGAGAGGAAAAAGGAAGAAAGAGCCACCAUGGAUACAGAAAAGGUGAAAAAGAUGGAGAGAGAACUUCUUUUAAGGCCUUAUACAAUGGUAGGUUUUAGGGAGUUAUUUAAAAAAUAAACCAAGUUUUUUGAAGCACUAGUGCCUAUUUUUAGAGGAGAGACAUCUAAUUAAGCGUCUGCCUUAUAUAAAUAAGCAACGAU
rnacentral:lncRNA from 1 species